GUCCAGAGUAACAAAAUAGGAUUCAGAUAUACAAUUAAACAAAUAUUUAAUGUCAAUUGUUCACUUAUUCACUUUAUUCAUCUAUUUGUAAUAAUAACAAUUUGUAUAACUAAAAAUAAAGAUUUUGAUAAAUGUUUGUUUAAAUUUAACCCAUAUGAUCCCAAAACAUGUCUGAUCAGCUGGACCGUACGCGUAUACUCAUACGGUCCGACCGUACGCGUAUGGUCGGACCGUACGAGUAUACGUAUACGGUCCGGACCGUACGCGUACGGUCCAAAUACUCAUAUGGUCUGGAACAACUAUAUA
rnacentral:lncRNA from 1 species